rnacentral:rRNA from 1 species
ACAGAGGGUGCAAGCGUUAAUCGGAGUUACUGGGCGUAAAGGGCGCGUAGGCUGAUAUUUAAGUCGAUUGUGAAAUCCCCGGGCUUAACCUAGGAAUUGCAGUCGAUACUAGAUGUCUUGAGUAUGGUAGAGGAAAGUGGAAUUCUCGGUGUAGUGGUUAAAUACGUAGAUAUUGAGAAGAACACCAGUGGCGAAGGCGACUUUCUGGGCCAAUACUGACGCUGAGGCGCGAGAGCAUGGGGAGCAAACAG